rnacentral:tRNA from 2 species
CAGAAAAUAGUUUAAUUUAGAAUCUUAGCUUUGGGAGUUAGGGGUAGGAGUUAGAAUCUCCUUUUUCUGA